GGGUGGCCAGGCGUACUUUAUCAACGACGGGGAAGAGGUCAACCUGUUUGAAUGGCUCUCACCCUUGUUUGAAAGACUGGGCUACCAGAAACCAUGGGUCCAUAUUCCUGUUCUUCUGGUUCAUCUAACAGCUGUCGUCGUGGAAAAAGUACAAAAUCUGUUGCUCCCCCUCGUGGAAAUCACACCCCUAAUCACCAGACAUGA